ACUCAAUUGCAUCUACCAACUGGCAGACAGACCAACUGAGAGAGUCCGUCCGUUCAGUAGCUGGAUUCGCCAUGGGUGUGCCCCAGGAGUGUUAGCAAGGCUAUUUCUCCGGAUCAGAAUAGUCCACAGACAGCAACUCUCUGAGGGAAGGCUCCACAACUGAACUAGUAAGACGUGCCUCUGCUUAAAAUAAUCAUAAGGAAUUUCUCCCUUCUCUUCUAUGGGUCUUAACCUUCUAAUUAGCCACCUCUUUAUCCUCUGAGAAUAUCUCAAGUCCAUGUCUGAUAAGCCACUUCUCAGCAGGGAGAGAACUGCAUCUUAAAAUGGAUUUGAUACUUCUUAGUAAACUGACAAAUCAGCCGAGGGGUGAGUCAAAUGAAAAUUUUAGGACUAUCGCCCUGCAAAAAAGGUGAUGAUUGCUAUAGGUUGGGAGAGUUAUAAUCUGUCAGAAUCUUCUGUUGCAAGGAACAGCUUAGCCACACAGCAGUGCUCCAUGGCGGCUGCCGUCAAGAAUCUAAACACGGCUUGGAAUUCUCUGAGGAUGUUAUUCAUAAAGGCACAGUUA
rnacentral:lncRNA from 1 species